AUUGAACGCUGGCGGAAUGCUUUACACAUGCAAGUCGAACGGCAGCACGGACUUCGGUCUGGUGGCGAGUGGCGAACGGGUGAGUAAUGUAUCGGAACGUGCCCAGUCGUGGGGGAUAACGUAGUGAAAAUUACGCUAAUACCGCAUACGAUCUAUGGAUGAAAGCGAGGGAUCGCAAGACCUCGCGCGAUUGGAGCGGCCGAUAUCAGAUUAGGUAGUUGGUGGGGUAAAGGCCCACCAAGCCAACGAUCUAUAGCUGGUCUGAGAGGACGACCAGCCACACUGGAACUGAGACACGGUCCAGACUCCUACGGGAGGCAGCAGUGGGGAAUUUUGGACAAUGGGCGAAAGCCUGAUCCAGCCAUUCCGCGUGCAGGAUGAAGGCCCCCGGGUUGUAAACUGCUUUUGUACAGAACGAAAAGGUUUCUACUAAUACUAGGAGCUCAUGACGGUACCGUAAGAAUAAGCACCGGCUAACUACGUGCCAGCCGCCGCAGUAA
rnacentral:rRNA from 1 species